GCUGUGUGAAGUUUGUGUCUUGAUAUUGUUUCAGUUUCCUUUCAAACGCAUCCCAAGUUCUAAAAUUGUCACCCUUAACAACAUUGGUAAUAGGAAAUCUCUUCAUCCAUUGUUAAAAGUAUCAUGACAAUAAUAAGAGUAUGUGUGCAGUUAAAUACUUUUAAAAAGUGAAACCAUUGAACUAUAUUUUUCGCCUUUGGAGUACUCCUAAUCUGGAGUAGUAUCUUUAAGAACAUCAAAACCAUAAAUAUGUAAAACUAUUUACACACC
rnacentral:lncRNA from 1 species